GCUCUCAAGCUUUUGGUUUUCUCAUUCCCCUCUAAAGAAGCAUAAGGAAAACCAUUUGGGCUCUAACAUCUGGAAGAUCAUCACACCCUCAUACCUUCGAGAUUCCGGAAAUGGCUCAACAAGGUAUGUUCUUCAUCUUCGCCAUGAACUCAUUUGGGGUUUCUUCGGUCUGGUCCAUGGUUGUUCCAUUUGGGUUUAUGUAUGGUCAUAAACAUUAGGUUAUGGGAACAAAGACAUGGUCAUAAGGACUUUCGCGUUUAAUCUAUGGAUUUCGGAUGGAGAUAUUCUCAAACCCAUAAUCCAUAUAAAAAAUGGAAAUUUUGUGUCUCAAUGUAAAUUGCAGAAUCUCUAAUUAUCCAUCACCCAUGUCUCCAUUCUUCUAAAAAAUCACUGAGGGUGCUGCAAAUCUUGCUGAGAAUGAUUGAGAUGCAUGAUCAGUGUCCUUAUAAUAGCAUCAUCAAAGUUCUUCAAGUAGGAGUUUGGAUCAUAUUGGACAUUAACCACACGUGAAGAGCACAAAAUUCUGCUAUUUUCUCUCUUGAUCUUCCUCCACGAUGUUCUCAAUUGUUUUAUCUUCAUUCUGGUCGCAUGUUUGAUAACACAAAAAAUAGGAUUGUAACCAAUUCUCUCAUAACUUGGCCAACUAGUGCUGUUGACUUUUAAGAUUCAUGGUGUUUGGGACAGAGAAUAUAGGAAUCAUAUAUAAUGGUUUAAGAGUACAAUGUGUUUG
rnacentral:lncRNA from 1 species